AGCAGCAUGGCUUAGUGGAAAGCACUUAGACUUGGGAUUCAGAGGUCAUGGGUUCUAAUCCCUGCUCUGCCA
rnacentral:tRNA from 1 species